rnacentral:rRNA from 1 species
UACGGAGGGGGCUAGCGUUGUUCGGAAUUACUGGGCGUAAAGCGCACGUAGGCGGCUUCGCAAGUCAGGGGUGAAAGCCCGGGGCUCAACCCCGGAACUGCCUUUGAGACUGCGUCGCUUGAAUCCGGGAGAGGCGGGUGGAAUGUGAAGUGUAGAGGUGAAAUGCGUAGAUAUGCGGAAGAACACCAGUUGCGAAGGCGGCCCACUGGACCGGUAUUGACGCUGAGGUGCGAAAGCGUGGGGAGCAAACAGG